rnacentral:rRNA from 1 species
UACAGAGGUCUCAAGCGUUGUUCGGAUUCAUUGGGCGUAAAGGGUGCGUAGGCGGCGCGGUAAGUCGGGUGUGAAAGCUCGGAGCUUAACUCCGAAACUGCAUUCGAUACUGCCGUGCUUGAGGACUGGAGAGGAGACUGGAAUUUACGGUGUAGCGGUGAAAUGCGUAGAUAUCGUAAGGAAGACCAGUGGCGAAGGCGGGUCUCUGGACAGUACCUGACGCUGAGGCACGAAGGUCAGGGGAGCAAACGGG